rnacentral:rRNA from 1 species
GACGAACGCUGGCGGCGUGCCUAAUACAUGCAAGUCGAGCGAAGUUGUUCUGGUGCUUUCACUAGAAAAACUGAGCGGCGAACGGGUGAGUAACACGUAAAGUACCUGCCUCAUAGAGUGGGACAACUAUUAGAAACGAUAGCUAAUACCGGAUAACAGUAUUUCUCGCUUGAGAGUUAUUUAAAAUUUGGUUAUGCUAACACUAUGAGAUGUCUCUGCGGUGUAUUGGCUAGUUGGUGGGGUAAGGACCCACCAAGGCGACGGUGCAUAGACGACCUGAGAGGGUGAUCGGCCACACUGGGACUGAGCCAGGGCCCAGACUCCUACGGGAGGCAGCAGAAGGGAAUGUUCCGCAGUGGGCGAAAGCCUGACGGAGCAACGCGGAGUGAGUGAAGAAGGAUUUGGGUUCGUAAAGCUCGGUUGUUAGGGAAGAAUGGAUUUGUAGUAACAAGACAUGUAAGAGACGGUACCUAACCAGAAAGCCACGGCUAACUACGUG